rnacentral:rRNA from 1 species
UACGAAGGGGGGCUAGCGUUGCUCGGAAUCACUGGGCGUAAAGCGCACGUAGGCGGAUCUUUAAGUCAGGGGUGAAAUCCUGGAGCUCAACUCCAGAACUGCCUUUGAUACUGGGGAUCUCGAGUCCGGGAGAGGUGAGUGGAACUCCGAGUGUAGAGGUGAAAUUCGUAGAUAUUCGGAAGAACACCAGUGGCGAAGGCGGCUCACUGGCCCGGUACUGACGCUGAGGCGCGAAAGCGUGGGGAGCAAACAGG